CGUCGCAGGCACCUUGAGAUAAACACCCACUAAUGAUUUUAUGAUUUUUCUGCUCUGGGUAGCCGCGCUCAGCAGAAUCCCUUCCCCCGCCCUGGCGACGGGGGCCGGCCCAACGGAGGGAUUGGGGGAUGGGGGGGCGUUAGUUUUUUUUUUUAACACGGCCGCGAGCCCACACCUGUUUUUCAUUCAUUCAUUCGUUCGUUCAUUCAUUCAUUAACGGAUUCGUCACAGCUGCUUGCCUGGCCCUCUGGAUCUCGGGGAGAGGAUGGGAAGGGGGCUGAGAUGGGGGGAGACAGCGGCACGGGUGCAUCUCGUGUGUGUGCGCUGGAGGGGGGGGUGGCUCGGGGUGGAAGGACCCAGUUAGAGGGCAGAUCGGGUGGCUUUGUCAAACACAAGACGAGCGAUGCGGCGGGGGCGGGGCGGGGGCGCUCCCCGGGGUUCGAAGUUGUUUUCCGAGCCGCGGCGGCGAGGACAGCCGCCCGGGUGCGCCUCUUUGUCUCUCCCCGGCCGGCGCCGCGUCCCCGCGCGCUCACCUGGUCUUGGAGGACAGGAAAGCAAGUUUGAUCAGGCCGUAGAAUCUCAGCUCUGUGAAGGCAGUGGGCUUUGUCCUCUUGCUGUAUUCCCAGUGCCUGAAAUGUGGCUGGCAGGAAACUUCCAUCUUGGCUACGUGUGUACAUGUGUGCACACCGGCCUAAAUGCGCAUCUGUGAGCAUACAUGCACUGGAUCUUGAUGCAAAGAUGGGGAGACUGAGGCUAGGGGAAGGUCAAGAGGAGCCGACUGUGGACACAACUUUUCUUGGGUCUCCCAAGGGCCUGCACCAGGGCUGAGCACAUCGUGCUGCUUAAGGAAUGCCAAUUGGUUGAGUUGGUCAGUACAGAUGAGUGGCUUACCCUUCCUUCCUCCACUGCCUCAGUGACCUUCCCCGGCUCAACCCCACAUCCCCUUAUGGCAGGAUUCUGGCGUUUGUCCUCUGUUCCUGCUCUGGCCUGGAGGGACCAGCCAGGACUUGCAUUGUUGGCUUCAUCUCAGGCAGAUUCCUGACUGGCUCUUGUCGCCUUGGAUCCUGACCCCAGAAUGACUCCUAUGGACGUCUUCUCCUCCCCCAACUAAGAUCCAGUGCAGCUAAAUAAAUAAAUAAAUAUUUUUUAA